GGCCGCCUGGCGAAAUGGCAUCGCGUCUGACUACGAAUCAAGUACAUAUAUAUAUAUAUGUAGACGAAUCAGGAGAUUGCAGGUUCGACCCCUGCGGUGGUCA